AUUACAUGAACUCUUUCCACUUUUAACCACCUUUGUCAUGGUAGGGAGAACAUGUCAAUGCAAGGGUGGGGUGUUAUGGUGCCUGUCAGUCUUCUCCCCCUCCCCAUUCUGCUCUGCUCCUGACUCCACCAGCUGUGACCAAUCCACCUCAUCAGCCGCUGCAGCUCAAAAGGAGACCCAGCUCCAGUUUUCAACGCCAGUUCGUUGCCCCUUAUGGAUUCCUGCCUCCAAGUGUCACUUGUGGAAGUCAGAUCGAGCCCUCCUGCAUUCUUGUGGAAACACCACGCGCUGCCAAGCCGCGCUACCACCUCCAGCCAUGCUUCAAGCCGCAUUCCUCAUCAGACCAAUACCAAGCCACAACCAUCUCUCCUGGAAAAAAUAAAUACUCUUACUUACCUCACA